GCCCCGCCCUCCAAGGCGUGAGCACGUUUGUCAGCAGCAGACACACGUGUGGCUGGUGUCAGUCCUCCUCCUAGGAGAGAAGAGAAGCAUUUCCUGCAAGGGUGGUGGGGGAAGAGAGAGACAUGCAGGCUAGAAGGGAGGCCACAUUUGUCUCGAUGACAAACCAAGGACAAAAGCUCAGCCUGGAGCAUUCCAGGAGAGGCCCGCCUCUUCCUGAGGGUGGAGAGAACCGCUUCUCCUGUGUGUUUCGAGGGGGGAGACAGCGUGCAGGGAGGGAGCAGGUGGACGUGGGCAUCAGGAACGCAACCCAAGCCAACCGCCCCCACUCUUACCCCAGCCUCCUGCCGCCCUCUCCAAGGAGCCUGGGUUUAAUUUUCAGGUCAGUGUGAAAAGGAGGAGGAAGAGGAUGAGGAGGAGAAGAAAGGAGGGAGUUAAAGUUCUAAUGCAGUCGGCUGGGAUCUGUCACUCAGCGUACACCUCGCUGACGACUCAGGGCAGCUUCAGCUGUAAGCAGCCCGUGAUUUAUGGACACCGAGUGAACUCCUGCGGCAGAAACCAGCCUUGAGAUCAGAGCAGCAAUAGGGCCCUUUUUUGGCAGGAGACAGGGCCUGCAUUUUUCUCAUUCAUGCCAAACUGCUUUGCACGGCAAUUAGCUCUGUCCUCAUUUAGUCUCCAGUCCCAAAGGGUAAUGAAAGUCAUAUAUCAUCUUCAGGACUGCUAAUUAUUGAGCUCGCUUACAGACAGACCAGACAUCAGAUCUCAGUCAGAUAAAUCCAUCUGAAACGAAAGGGGCCGAGGCCGAGGCUGGCACAAAGAAAAGGAUUCCUUGCCAAAGUCACACAGGAAGACACUCCGAAAGACCUCCCCCAAAGAAGAGGGCGGAGGGGGUUCCUCUGGAGCUCCCUUUCCCUAAGGGCUUGGCGUUCAACUUUUGAUCCUAGUUCCACAUGAAGUUUCAUAUAAGUGAUUGUAUUAUUAUUAUUUUUUUGCAUGGGUGAAAAGCCACAAAUUAUUAACGCUGAAUUUCAAAGACUGCACUCUUCUCACUCAGGGGUGGCAUCUCUUCACUGUUCAGGCACGGGCAGCCUCACAGAACGGACGUGGCCCAGACCUCACUUGACCUCUGAGAGGCCCUGAAGGCAGUUGCCCAAGGGCAGGGGCAGGGGACAGGGCAGAGGGGGAGGACACGGAGCGGAGCGGGGAAGGAAGAGAGAGGAGGGGCGGGGAAGGAGAGGAGGGGCGGCGGGGAGCCCGGAGAGAAAUAAAGAGGGGAGACCCGGGAGAGGAAGAGGGGGAGGCCCGGGAGAGCGCGCGGAGGGGGUGUCAGCGAGGGGCCGCCUGUCAGGGUUCUAUCUGCGCGAUGAUUGAUGCGGGCCCGGGUUUUUCUGUCAGCCUGUCACGGCGCAGGAAUGUUUAAUGUUCUCAUUAUUGGUUACGCUGUUGUGUAUAUUUCUCUGUCAGCACCGCGGACCCAGCUGAACUGGCAGAGCACUUCAAAGGCCUACGGGUCAUUCAUCAUCCCCAUGACGCUCCGGCAAAUGCUCAGCUUCAGCCCCGCGCCAGGGAUUUGUUAUGACUUGCGAGCCGCCUGACAGACAGGGCCGCGGCGGCCGGGAGGGGACGCGCGGGAGGCGGGCUCCGGGCCCUUCCUGUCACGCCGGGCCCCUGACUCCGACUCGAGGGGCAGGCGGCACAGCGCGGGGUGGGCCCACGGGGGCGACCCCCGGGAGGGGUGGCGGGAGGAGGCAGGGGCACGCCCCCUCGUGGGCUCCAGGGCGCCCCCACGCCUCUCCCUGCAGUCCCGCCCUCCACCUCCCGGCCGGCGGCGGCCUCUCCCAAAGUUGUGCUGCAGACCCAGAGGUUGAUGGGGGAAAAGCGAAACUUGCAACCGUCCAGGGCCAGGGAGGGGCGGGAGCUGGGAGCGAGAGCAGGAGAGUAUCGGAGCUUUGUUUCCUUUCCCAGGCCGUGACAUGAUUAAUCGUUUUCUUCUGAUCUAAUUUUGGAACAUGAAAAACAGCACAUUUGUCUUGAAGAAAAAUGAUGUGCCGAACUGCGCAGAUGGAAAUUUCGAGCAAUGAGAAAGAUUAAAGUGAAACCCCACUCCUUAGACCUAAUCAUGAGUUGUAGAUUAUUCUGUCGGCCCAGCCAGAUGGUAGCUCUGAUUCCACAGCCCCUUCUUAUAUUAAUGAAUACUCGACUGUUAUAUUUGACUUAGGCUUCUCAUCUGUAACUGGUGAAGCCCGGAAGAGCUUGUUGUUCAAGAGGAAAUCUUGUGUUACUUCUUUAUGAAGGACUCCAGCCUGGUGGAGAUGAAUGAGUCCUGAAGAUGGAAUCAAAGCUGUUUGGGCACAAGUAAGAUGGAAAGGGUUGAGGGACAUUUUCAAGGAGUGAUGUCUUGAGAGAAAAAUGGAAAGAAAUCCACACGCAGAAAAGAGAUAUCCAGAUAUGAAAACAUGGGGCGGGGGAGGGAGAGAGAGAAGAGAAUGUAGAGAAAGAGAGAGACAUUGAGGAGAGGACGUGUCGAUACUAACAGAGGAGAUGGCCCAUGAACUCAGAGGAGAAAAUCUCCUUGCCUCAGCCAAAGUGAGCUUCCUAAAAAGCCAAUUUGAUCCCCGGUGAAAAUUCUCUUCUGGCUGUGAUUCCUACGGGAGUCUGUUGAAAUGUCUUGGCUGGGAAUAGGUGAGCCUCUCCAUCUAUCCCCAGCUUCUCUCUCCAGCCUUAUCUCUUGCUUGUCCUCAACUGUGACCCUGCCCUUCUGCCACAUGAGCCUUCUUAGGGUCCCCAAGAAUGCCAGCCUCUUUCAGAACAGUGUGAUUCUAUCUGUGUUUAUUUCUGUCUAUCCUACUCUCCUGUAUUCUUUCCCUGGCAAACUCCUACUCAUUCUUCAAGACCCAGCUCUCAGGUCUCCUCCUCUGUGACAUUUUCCUGACAUUCCCAGGAGGCAUUAUUCAUCCUCUGACCCCCACCCCUGACACUGGCCAGGCUGCAUUGAAAAAUGUCUGUAUGUGCAGCACACCAACAUGGCACAAGUAUACAUAUGUAACAAACCUGCACGUUAUGCACAUGUACCCUACAACUUAA